GUUUGUUUAUAUCAUUCCUCUUUUUUUUUUUUCUUUUCUUCUCUUCAGAUCGCAUUUUAAAUCAAAAUGUUCUCCAUGACUGACUGCUUUGCAGCACUAGGCUAGGGCAGAGAAACAACUCUUCCUUCAACAACACACUCCAAAGCAUGCUCGGUUCUCGCGCAUCCCCAGACCGAUGGCGUGGUAGGCACUGGGCCUUCAGGUUAAUACACAUAAAGCAAUCUGUGCAUCUCCAAGAGAUUAUGGGGGCUGUUUCCUGAAGAAGCCAAUAGGUAAAGACACAUCCAUACAUUGACACGGGAGGACUCACAAAGGCAGGGAUGAGAACAUAAAGGUAUUAUUUUGAUGUGACGAACCCUGCUUGGAAAAUGUCUACAACUCAUCCAAAGUUGUUGCCACUUUUGCUGCCUUUGCCUUGGAGAAGUCGAGUAGUUCUCCAGCCCCUUUGAAAUACGUCUCGUCUGCACUGAAUUUCUGCCGACAAACCAGCGGAUAGAUAUGGAUGUGAAGUGGAUGUUGCAUGAGUCCAUGUGUACUGGGACAAAAGUCCCCCCAAGCAGACGCUCUGAAGAGUGGUGUGUACUGUAUGUCUGCAUCCAUAGGAUGAUGAAAACUCACUUAAAGCCUUCCCUCUGUUGCUUGCCUCUGUCCUUCCUCAAUGACCAUAUUCAAGCCUAAUAUUUUUCUUCAGACUUGCAAUGAAAGACAUUUUUAAUAUGCUUCUGUUACACUAAUAGAAAGAUAUAUCAUCUAUAUCUCUGUAUCUAUCUAUACAAAAUCCCUCUCCAGCAGUUACAAUAGUUCCUUUAUAUCUCUAAGGUAUUAACUAACAUCUUUGUUACUGAGCAACAAAAUUAUUUGCUUUAUAUUUCAGAUAUUUUUAUUAAUGGGUCUGAAUACAUUGAAGUCCAUGUGGAAAAUUCUUCUUUUCAUUCCUGGGAAAGAACAAUGGAAUCAACCUGAGAUUAGCUCUGCUUUUUUGGCAUUUUAUUAGAAGCACACAGUCCAGCUAUGUUUAGAAAUACACACUUGGCUCAGCAUGCUUGAAUAAAGCACCAUCCCAGCUCCCUCCCAGCUGGCCACAGGAACCAAAGCAAAGAGCUAAGAGACUGGAGCAAAGAGCCAAGACAGCGAGCAUGAAGGAGGUGAGGGCAAGCCUGGAUACAGGGUGGCUUGAUUUCCCUUUCUCCACUGGCAGACACCAUGGGUAUCCAUGGUGAAAUCCUUGUGAAAACCCGUUUUAUCUUGCAUGGCAAAAGAGCUGGUUAUGGAAUUGGCAUUGCCAAAGGAAUGGUGGGCCGAUGAUGCGGCAAGCCAGGAGACCCAUCUGCAUCACAGAGGAUAUGGCGGUGAAGCACAAAGGUAUCCACUUCUUUAAAAGCAAAGCUUAGGUUAAGAUGAAAAAAACAGAAGACUUCCAGAGUGAUUCCCAAGGUAAACCUAAACAUUUCCAGGUUUUCUUGCCCUGGUGGGUUUGGUGUAACUGUAACUGCUCAACCUGCAGAGCCUUUCAAAGCGCUCUGCAAACCUCCAUGCCAAAAUAAAUGUUGCUUUACCAUCAAAUAGGCUGAAGAAUGAAAGCCAUAAGAUGUGUGAGCGAGAAAAAAAAGCCCAAACAGGAAAACCCCUUUCUUCUGAUUUUAAAGUCCUGGGUGAUCAAGGCUGUUCUGCUCACUCUGAUGUAAUCAGUUUGCAGAUACCCAAAUACAUGUACAGCCAUGGAAAAUGCUCUCCCUUUGAUUCCAACAAAGUCCAUUCUAAUUCUCUUUAAAUGUUCCAGGGCUUUUUGAAAUG